rnacentral:rRNA from 1 species
CUUAGUGGCGGACGGGUGAGUAACGCGUGGGUAACCUGCCUUGCACUGGGGGAUAACACUUAGAAAUAGGUGCUAAUACCGCAUAAGCGCACGGUCCUGCAUGGGACAGUGUGAAAAACUCCGGUGGUGCAAGAUGGACCCGCGUCUGAUUAGCUGGUUGGCGGGGUAAAGGCCCACCAAGGCGACGAUCAGUAGCCGGCCUGAGAGGGUGGACGGCCACACUGGGACUGAGACACGGCCCAAACUCCUACGGAAGGCAGCAG